rnacentral:misc_RNA from 1 species
CCGAGUUUACAACUCCCAAACCCAUGUGAACAUACCUAUUGUUGCUUCGGCGGUUCGCCCCGGGUGCAUCGCGCUCCCGGACUCAGGUGGCCGCCGGGGGAUCUUAACUCUUGUUUUCCAGUGAAUCUCUGAGUCGUUUUUAAAUAAAUAA